CUGGGUUCCACUGGCUGAGCACAGGCCAGUUCCUGAGGUGAUACUGACGGAGAUGGCCUGAGGACGGGGAGCUGCCAGCAGCCCUUCUGUUGGAGCCGCCAAAAUGUAGCUGAAGGAAGAAAAGAAAGGAAAGGACGUGGAGACAAGACAGAGUCAUCGAAGGCAGGUGCUCUGUGUGCUUCAGGCACUUUGAUUUUGUGGACAUGAGGAUGCAAAUCAAAUGGGACCCCGGAGGCAGCAACUGACUGAGAAGCUGGAGAAAAGGAGGCAAUAGAAGGGAGACCAAGGGAGAGGAGGCCUCAGGGCGUGCGGGGAGGAGGAGUCGGCGAUGGCUGCAGGGAGUUCUCUAGGGAGGGAGAAAGGGAACUGCUGUGCAGUCUGGGCACUGGGCAGUGAGUCCUCAGGAUUGGUUCUUCUGGUUGGGGCCUGCAUGGCGCACCACGCUCAGGCAUAAGUACGUCAUCCCUCCAUCCUCGGGUGGACCUGUGUAAGUAGGAGACCUCUGUUCCACAGAGGCCGAUGACAGUUCUGAGUUUGCCUGGCUAGGAGGUGGCUUCUCCGGAAUUCAAAGGCAGGUGUGUCCAGUUCCAAUCCCGGUGCUCCAUGCUCCACUAUUUGUUCCUCAAAAUGGUUUACCUUCAGGACCUUCUGGAAUCAAAAAUAGAAAUUUCUGGGACGUUGAGAUUCAACAGUUCUGGGAGUCGCUCCUUUUCAAACCCCUCUGGAGCGUUCUGAUGGCUCCUUCCCAGGCUGGGCCCAUGGACCUCCAUGCAGCCUUGACUGAGUACAGGGACUACAUUAAAGCAGACCAUGGGGCUUCUGCUGGUAGAUUAAGAUGUUUGAAGAAUUGAAUCCGAAGAAGCCAUGAUAUUUUUCUCAUUUGAAAUCAUCUGCGUAUAAAUUCUUAGAGCCAGGUUUUUGCUUUAAUGAUCUAAAAGUACAAGUACACGCAAACCCCGUUCUUCUACCCUCAGUCUUUUUAUUGAAAUGCACAGUUCUGAUAGUUAAUUGGUUAGGGUUCUGGGAGAACUCUCUCCAGGCCAUGACUUUUAGUCAGAUUAUUCCUCCAUAAAGCCACUAGAUGGCAGCAACUGACAUUGUAAAUAGGAUCUCCACUUGGACUUGGCCUGAGAAGCACUGCAGGAAAAAAGGUUAGGAAAAUUGGUUUCAUCUACAUAAAUAAGUCAAAUGGCAUAAUCUCAGAAUUCUGGGUUCAUAUGCAUAUUCCUCUGCCUGCCCGAGAACUAAAGUGCUUCAAUGAAUCACCUUCUGAGGGAAUAUAAUGGAAGGAAUUACUAGAA